rnacentral:lncRNA from 1 species
GAAGGGAGAAAGAAAGAAACAGAGAGCAAAACGAAACAGAGAAGGAAGGAAGGAAAGAAAGAAAGAAAAGAAAAGAAAAAGGGAAAUUUGGGGUUUUAAGGUUCAAAGUAAUUUGAUCAAGAAGUACGAAACUCGAGGUUAGACAAAGGGAAGAAUAAAGUUGAAGACUAAGUUGGUGAAUUUGGCUAUAAUUUGUACCGAGGUAAGUUUACGGUAAAUAAAUGCAAUAUUUCAAUAUUUAUUAUUAAUGCUGUUAAUUUCCAGCAAUUAUGAAUUUAUUUGAUGAUGAUCCAAGCAUGAAAUGAUAGAGAAUAAAAAUUUAAAAGUCCCGUUGAUACAUAAGGAUGGUACUGGAUACGAAUGUCAUGACAUUUGGGUAAAGAGAUCCCAUGUAAGACCAUGUCUGGGACAUGGCAUUGGCAUCCUUAAGAUCAUGAGAGGUCCCCUGUAAGACCAUGUCUGGGACAUGGCAUGGGCACCGAGACGAGAGGUCCCAUGUAAGACCAUGUCUGGGACAUGGCGUUGGCACCGAGAUGAGAGGUCCCCUAUAAGACCAUGUCUGGGACAUGGCAUGGGCACCAUCACGAGAACAUCCCAUGUAAGACCAUGUCUGGGACAUGGCUUUGGCAUGUUAUUAUCAGAAGAGACCCGAGUAUCCUUAUUAUUCCAAUGUAGUUCAACGGGCUUGUAAACGAAUCAUGUUCAUGAAAGUUCAGUUUAAAGCAUAAAUGGCAAGCUCAGGUAAGUUGUAAGACUUAAGAACUUAUUAUACUAUCAAUUGAUGUUCAACGAUGCAGCAAGGAUUGAGUAAGUUAUGCACACAAAUAUUCUAAGUAAACAAGUAAGAGAACUAGUAUGAGAUUAACUAAAGAGUAAACUAGAGAUAUAGACAUUGAGUUUAAUUAUUUAAGUUAAAUAUUGUUAUUUAUUUGCUAGUAAACUUACUAAGCUUUAUGCUUACUUCUUUUAUUUCUCUUUCUCUUAUAGUAUUGCAAAGCUACUUCAAGGAUCCUAAAGAAGUCGGAGAUCGUCCACACUAUCAACUACAACUGCUCGGUAUUUUAUAUCGAAACACGUUUAAGUUAUGGCAUGUAUAGGGAUUUAGUUAUUUUGUAUGUUUGUAGUGAUGAUUUUGCUAAUGAGUGAUGUGUAAGUAUUUGAUGAUGUAUGAUUAUUAAAAUGAUUAAGGAUGAAGGUGUUUGUUGUUAUGAAAGAUUAGGUGAUAAAUUAUGCAUGGAAAUCAUGAAAGGAUAAAAUUUUGCAAAGAAACAGAAUUCAGGCAGCACAGUGACGUGAAUUUGAAAAAUCACCCAAGAUAGUAUAAAAUGAAUUAGAGGGUGAAUGAUAUAUGGAAUUAAAGCUUGUUGAGUCUAUUUUCAUGGAAAAAAACGGUGUAGAAAAAAAGAAAUUUAUAUUUUAAGAUAUGUGAAUUUUAGUAAGAUAGGGUCAGAACUGUUUUUUUGGAGUCCCCUGUUCUGAGUUUAGAAAAUAAUUACAAAUUGUACAAAAAUGUUUAUGAGUUGAAAUUUACAUGCUUAGAUUCCUUGAUGAGUCUAUUUUCUAUAGAAACAAGUAAUAACUUCAUAUGAAAAUCCUAUAGUGAGAAAACUUAUUUUUAGUGACUAGAGGUCAGGGCAGUCUGGUGGUGACACAGGGGAGACUUUAACUAAUAAACUGUACUAAUUUGCUAAACCAAAAAUUCUAAAAAUUUUAUGGUGAGUAGAUAUAUGAGUCUAGUUUCAGGGAAAAUUUACGGGAUUAAAUUUCGAGUUCUGUAGCUCAAGUUAUAAUUAAUUUAGUAACUGCUGCGCGAUUAGACAGAUUUGCUGCGAAUAAUGAAAUAAAUUUUCAAACCUAGUUUUUAUGCUCCGAAUUGGUAAGAUAAGAUAAGUAAUUGUAACAGCCCAAUUUUCAGUAGUGUCAGAACAGUGAUUUGAGAUCACUAAAUUCGAUGAAGAAGUUAGAAAUAUUUUUGAAUUAGUGAAUUUUGUGAUUUAAAAGAAAUUAUUAGGUAAAUUGGGUCGAAAACGAGGUAUCGAGACCUCGAUAUUAUAAACUGAGCCGUAAAUAUUUUUAUAAAUAUUUACGGAGUGUCAAUAGGAUAAUAUUAAAGUUUCGUUAAGAAAUUUUAAUGUUUCGAUAGUUAAUUAUGAAAAAGGAUUAAAUUGCAAUAGGGAUAAAAGUUUAAUUAUAGAUUAAAGAAAAGUUAAAAGGACCAAAUAGGCAAUUAUGCCUUUUUCUAAAGUUGAGGCGGCAUAAUGAAAGAAAUAUCUGAGAUAUUCUAGUUAAUAUAUAUUAUAUAUAUGUAAGUAAUGAUUAUUAUUAAUAUUUUAUAUUAUAUUAUAUUAUAUAUAUAUAACAAAAGAAAGAAUAGAAAUGAGAAAGAAAGAAACAGAGAGCAAAACGAAACAGAGAAGGGAGAAAGAAGAAAAAGAAAGAGCGACGGUUCAGGGGUUUCAAAACUUCUAAAUUCAAUUGGUAAGUCAAUUUAGUCCAUUUUUCUUAUGGUUUUGAUAUUUUUGGAAUCCUAGAGCAAGAUACUACUUGAUUUAAGUGGAAAUUUUGGAAGUUAGUAGGUUAUUAGAUGUUGUUCAUGUUGAAUUAAUUGAUGAAUUAGAUGUUAAAAUGAUUGAAUUUUAAGUUAAAAGUUAGUAAAAGGUUGAUUUGUAAAAUAAAACAUAAGUUUUGAAUUGAUAGGAAUUAAAUUGAAAGAAUCCCGAAAUUAGGGAUUUAUGGGGAAAUUGAAGAAUUAAACUGAGUUUAUAGUAAGAAUUAAGAGAGAAUAGAGUUAGAAUGCAAAAAUAAAAUUAGUAUUGAUAAGGGAUUAAAUUAGAAUUUGAUGUUGCCAUAGAAGGGAAAAAUGUUCAGAAUGUUAUAAAACAUAAGAAUAAGAGAUGAAGUUUAAUUUCCGAGCCUUGGGGCAAAAAUAUAAUUAUGUAAAAGUUUAGGGGCAAAAUUGUAAUUUUGAAAAAGUUAGAGUCGAGGGCUAUUUUGAUGAAUGUGAUUAUUAAAUAAGUUAAAUUUACUAUUUUAGAUCAAGAAGUACGAAACUCGAGGUUAGACAAAGGGAAGAAUAAAGUUGAAGACUAAGUUGGUGAAUUUGGCUAUAAUUGGUACCGAGGUAAGUUUACGGUAAAUAAAUGCAAUAUUUCAAUAUUUAUUAUUAAUGCUGUUAAUUUCCAGCAAUUAUGAAUUUAUUUGAUGAUGAUCCAAGCAUGAAAUGAUAGAGAAUUAAAAUUUAAAAGUCCCGUUGAUACAUAAGGAUGGUACUGGAUACGAAUGUCAUGACAUUUGGGUAAAGAGAUCCCAUGUAAGACCAUGUCUAGGACAUGGCAUUGGCAUCCUUAAGAUCAUGAGAGGUCCCCUGUAAGACCAUUCUGGGACAUGGCAUGGGCACCGAGACGAGAGGUCCCAUGUAAGACUAUGUCUGGGACAUGGCGUUGGCACCGAGAUGAGAGGUCCCCUAUAAGACCAUGUCUGGGACAUGGCAUGGGCACGAUCACGAGAACAUCCCAUGUAAGACCAUGUCUGGGACAUGGCUUUGGCAUGUUAUUAUCAGAAGAGACCCGAGUAUCCUUAUUAUUCCAAUGUAGUUCAACGGGCUUGUAAACGAAUCAUGUUCAUGAAAGUUCAGUUUAAAGCAUAAAUGGCAAGCUCAGGUAAGUUGUAAGACUUAAGAACUUAUUAUACUAUCAAUUGAUGUUCAACGAUGCAGCAAGGAUUGAGUAAGUUAUGCACACAAAUAUUCUAAGUAAACAAGUAAGAGAACUAGUAUGAGAUUAACUAAAGAGUAAACUAGAGAUAUAGACAUUGAGUUUAAUUAUUUAAGUUAAAUAUUGUUAUUUAUUUGCUAGUAAACUUACUAAGCUUUAUGCUUACUUCUUUUAUUUCUCUUUCUCUUAUAGUAUUGCAAAGCUACUUCAAGGAUCCUAAAGAAGUCGGAGAUCGUCCACACUAUCAACUACAAAUGCUCGGUAUUUUAUAUCGAAACACGUUUAAGUUAUGGCAUGUAUAGGGAUUUAGUUAUUUUGUAUGUUUGUAGUGAUGAUUUUGCUAAUGAGUGAUGUGUAAGUAUUUGAUGAUGUAUGAUUAUUAAAAUGAUUAAGGAUGAAGGUGUUUGUUGUUAUGAAAGAUUAGGUGAUAAAUUAUGCAUGGAAAUCAUGAAAGGAUAAAAUUUUGCAAAGAAACAGAAUUCAGGCAGCACAGUGACGUGAAUUUAAAAAAUCACCCAAGAUAGUAUAAAAUGAAUUAGAGGGUGAAUGAUAUAUGGAAUUAAAUCUUGUUGAGUCUAUUUUCAUGGAAAAAUAACGGUGUAGAAAAAAGAAAUUUAUAUUUUAAGAUAUGUGAAUUUUAGUAAGAUAGGGUCAGAACUGUUUUUUUGGAGUCCCCUGUUCUGAGUUUAGAAAAUAAUUACAAAUUGUACAAAAAUGGUUAUGAGUUUAAAUUUACAUGCUUAGAUUCCUUAAUGAGUCUAUUUUCUAUAGAAACAAGUAAGAACUUCAUAUGAAAAUCCUAUAGUGAGAAAACUUAUUUUUAGUGACUAAAGGUCAGGGCAGUCUGGUGGUGACACAGGGGAUACUUUAACUAAUAAACUGUACUAAUUUGCUGAACCAAAAAUUCUAAAAAUUUUAUGGUGAGUAGAUAUAUGAGUCUAGUUUCAGGGAAAAUUUACGGGAUUAAAUUUCGAGUUCUGUAGCUCAAGUUAUAAUUAAUUUAGUAACUGCUGCGCGAUUAGACAGAUUUGCUGCGAAUAAUGAAAUAAAUUUUCAAACCUAGUUUUUAUGCUCUGAAUUGGUAAGAUAAGCUAAGUAAUGCCUCGUGCUCGACUCCGGAAACGGUCUCGGGUAAGGGGUGUUACAUUUUAUUGGUAUCAGAGCAGGUUUAGUCUGUUCUCGGAAAUACUCAGUAAGAAUAAGAGUCUACCUAUACAUGCCAUACUUAUAUAUUUGAUAGUGUGACGACUCCUGGCGAUUUUAAAAUGUUUUCUUUUAUAGUUAUGGAUCCUGAACGAGCUAGUACAGAUGAAGUAGAGAGUAAUGCACCUAUUCCCGCAGAAGGGACGGUGCCAUC